rnacentral:rRNA from 1 species
UGGGGAAUUUGGAUCAAUGGGAACCCGAUCGAUCCAGCCCAUCCCGCCGUGUGCGAUGAAGGCCUUCGGGUUGUAAAGCACUUUUGGCAGGAAAGAAACGUCGCGGGUUAAUACCCCGCGAACAUGACGGUACCUGCAGAAUAAGCACCGGCUAACUACGUGCCAGCAGCCGCGGUAAUACGUAGGGUGCAAGCGUUAAUCGGAAUUACUGGGCGUAAAGCGUGCGCAGGCGGUUCGGAAAGAAAAGAUGUGAAAUCCCCAGAGCUUAACUUUGGAACUGCAUUUUUAACUACCGGGCUAGAGUGUGUCAGAGGGAGGUGGAAUUCCGCGUGUAGCAGUGAAAUGCGUAGAUAUGCGGAGGAACACCGAUGGCGAAGGCAGCCUCCUGGGAUAACACUGACGCUCAUGCACGAAAAGCGUGGGGAGCAAAACAGGAUU